UUGACUUGCAAAUGAUAAUGAUUAUUAUUGGACCUGGCUGAUCGCGAGAUCAGUCGAUAGACCAAGAGACCUUAGGUCGGACUCUUGGAAUAUCUCCUCAUCAGGCUAAUCACGGUUUUUGACCCGGCUCUUUGGCCGGGUCUUUUUUUU
rnacentral:sRNA from 1 species